UACGAAGGGUGCAAGCGUUAAUCGGAAUUACUGGGCGUAAAGGGUGCGUAGGCGGUUCGUUAAGUCUGUUGUGAAAUCCCCGGGCUCAACCCCGGGUCGGCCGUGCGGACUGGCGUGCUCGAGCACUGUAGGGGCGGGUGGAAUUCCGGGUGUAGCGGUGGAAUGCGUAGAGAUCCGGAAGAACACCGGUGGCGAAGGCGGCCCGCUGGGCAGGAAGGCUCGCAAGAGCCGGCUGACGCUGAGGCGCGACAGCGUGGGGAGCAAACAGG
rnacentral:rRNA from 1 species